GAUGAACGCUGGCGGCGUGCCUAACACAUGCCAGUCGAACGGAAAGACCCUGCUUUUGUGGGGUUCUCGAUUGCCGAACGCGUGAGUAACACGUGUGUAACCUGCCCUUGUCUUUGGGAUAACAUCAGGAAACUGGGGCUAAUAUCGGAUAGGAGCUCCUGCUCCAUGGUGGGCAUUGGAAAGUUUCGGCUUUUGGGGAUGGACUCGCGGCUUAUGAGCUUGUUGGUGGGGUAGUGGCUGACCCAGGCGUCGACGGGUAGCCGGCCUGAGAGGGUGACCAGCCGCACUGGGAGUGUGACACGGUACAGAGGCCCACGGAAGGGACCCGUAGGGAAACUGGAGGAAGGGGCGGAGAACAGUGCAAGAUAGGCCGAGGGAGGGAGGAACGACGCCGGGUGGGAAAUGACGGCUUUCGGGUUGUAAACCGCUUUCGCCUGUGACGAAGCGUGAGUGAGGGAACUAAGUAAAGAGGCACCGGCUAACUAGGG
rnacentral:rRNA from 1 species